UCCGAGUCGACCCCGGCAGUCUCCUAUGAGUCCCCGCCAUCACGCGCUGGCAACAUAGAACGAGGGUUGCGCUCGUUGCGGGACUUAACCCAACAUCUCACGGCACGAGCUGACGACAGCCAUGCAGCACCUAGUUUCGUGCUAUUGCUAGCUGCCAUGUUUCCACAGCAUUCACUAACUUUCAAGCCCAGGUAAGGUUCCUCGCGUAUCAUCGAAUUAAACCACAUGCUCCUCCGCUUGUGCGGGCCCCCGUCAAUUCCUUUGAGUUUCAAUCUUGCGAUCGUACUUCCCAGGUGGAUCACUUAAUGCUUUCGCUCAGAGGCGUGCUGUGUAUCGCACACUUCGAGUAAUCAUCGUUUAGGGCGUGGACUAC
rnacentral:misc_RNA from 1 species